AUGCCGAUGCCAAACUGCUGUCGGUCAGAGCAAGCAAAGCUGUGCUUUUCCUCAACAUACGCAACAGAUGUGGCGUUGCGCGCAGACUCGAGGAUGCAGGAUGAGCUGGCUGAGCGCCACUACGGGCGCCGGCUCUUGCGCCGUGGGCUGACAGCCUUGCGGAGGAAUGUUGUGGAGGCGUCCGUCAAACAGAUAAGGAGGAACCUGGCCCAUCAGCAGCACCGGAUUGCAGUGAGUCUGACCUCUGCAUCACACCUGCAGGAGGGGGAUCCCGGGAUCCACCUUCCUUCCUUCCUUGCACAGACCCGCACAGUUUCGUCUCGUGCUCACAGAGUGUUCCUAGCACGCAAGGGUAAACCGAGGGAACAGAGAGGCCCCGUUCUUUGCCAAAAUUCUCUGGGUCCAUCCCUUGGAAGCUGUACACGUGGGGGUACAUGGGGGUCCAGAGGGUGCAGGGUUCUGAUGAUAACGGUGAAUUUUUGACAUGAAAGAGGGGGCAGGCACCUGCUGCAAGACGCGUCUACUUUGCCUUGGCUCAGCCUUUUGACUUGUGUCUCUGAGAGCCUCCUUCUUCCGUAGCUCUGCUGCUGCUGCUGCGGUGGUUUCCUAGGGGGAGGGGAAAGGGCUCUGCCCGCUUCGCCUCCCUGGCUCGAUCGUGGCUCUUAGGCAGCUUCCCUCGUUUUCCUUCCAGCUCUUGAAAAGGUUCUGGGGUGGCUGGAAAUCUCUCUUGGAGCAGAAGGAGGAAGAUCAGCUCCACUCCCUGACGCUGGCAGCAAACGCCCACUACAGGUGCUGCAGGGGGGCUGUUUGCUGGGGGAGGAGGGGUAGCAGCCCUAGAGCCCCCCCGGGGGGUGUCCCUUUGGCGCAUAGGUGUUUGAAACUGUUCAGUGGUGACUCUGGGCAAUGUAAAACUGUGAACAAGAGAAACAUAUUACAAAAAAAAAACACUGGUAAUCCAACAAACUCGGUGAAAGUUAAGAUUGAAUUUAAAAUGAAAAUGAAAAUCAGGCCAUGGCUAUAGGUGUUAAAUAUAGACUCUCAGCGGACUACUGAGAUGGCUGAGUUUGAAAAGCCUGCUGAAAUAGAGAAGUUUUCAGAGGUUUCUUAAAAGUUUCCAGAGAAGGGACCCAGCAGACUUUGGGCAGCAGGUGCGUUUCCUGAGCAGGGGAGCCACCACCGAGAAGGCCUGGAUUUUUCCUUUCCUCCUUCCUGGUUUCUCCCCGGAUCGGCAUCCUCAGCUGCCUAGCCAAGGACAUACAGGCAGGAGAGCCAGUCCCUCUUGGAAGGAGACGUUCUCCCUAGUACUGGGGUCCCAAUCCAUUGAGGUCUUCAGCAUGCCUGGCACCUUCCUUUGUGCCUUGGAAGUGGUGGGUCCGUCUCUCUUCCCCUCCCCUCGACAGACUUGGCCCCAGUGCUGAAGAGAACUGUCCGUGGGUCUGGAGCUCCAGGGAGUUGACCCAGCAGGUGAGAGGGCCCCCCCGAUAGCCUGACCUGCCCCCUUUACCUUUCAGCUCAGUGCUGCUGCGCCGAUGCCUCCGGACCUGGUGCCACCACGCCAGCAGGAGACAACACCAGACGGUAAGAGGGUAGCCAAGCCCAGCAGUUCCUCUCUCUUUCUACACUCGGCCUCUUGCUCCCAAAUAUUUCCUUUUUGCACCUGCUGCUCUGCCUUCUACCUUCCUGAGUUCUAGCCCUUCCCUUGCUGUGCUUCCUCUCCGUUUUGUUUUGUUUAUAUAUAUAAAAAAAACAGAAGCCAGGAGGCAUGUGACGUAGCUUUUCCCAUCCAGGUGGACGUCAUGGGCCACCAGCUGAAGACCAAGCCCUUCGCGCCUUCAAAUUGAGUUUUCCAAAGUUUUCUUGACUGUUUCUUAAGGCUUAAAAACAGUGUGGCUUCCUCUCUUUUUAUUUAAAGGGCAGGCUGUGUACCUAUAAGUUGCCUUUCUUCAGGUGGUCAGCUGUGAAUUCCCACAUAGUUGGUUUCGGCGCCUGUUCUCUGGGCUGGUUUUAGAGGCUCUUGAGCAUUUAAUCCAGGCAGCCUUUCAGUUUUCUUGACUGUUUCUGAAAGGCUUAAAAACAGUGUGGCUUUCUCUCUUUUUUUAAAAAGGGCAGGCUGUGUACCCACAUAGUUGGUUUUGGCAGAGGCUCUUGAGCAUUUAAUCCAGGCAGCCUUUCUGAAGAUUAGCCCGUGAGACAGAUGAGAGAUUUAACAGGGUUCUCUGCAUUUGGAUAAUUAAUAAAGAGAUGUCAUGUAGCA
rnacentral:lncRNA from 1 species